CCUACGGGUGGCAGCAGUGAGGAAUAUUGGUCAAUGGGCGGAAGGCUGAACCAGCCAAGUCGCGUGAAGGAAGACGGCCCUAUGAGUUGUAAACCGCUUUUGUACGAGGGCAAACGCAGACACGCGUAGCUGUCCGAAAGUAUCGGACGAAUAAGGAUCGGCUAACUCCGUGCCAGCAGCCGCGGUAAUACGGAGGAUGCAAGCGUUAUCCGGAUUUAUUGGGUUAAAAGGGUGCGCAGGCGGAAGAACAAGUCAGCGGUAAAAUUGCGGGGCUAACCCCGUACGUGCCUUUGAAACUGUUUUCCUUGAGUGUCUGAGAAGUAUUCGGAAUGCGUUGUGUAGCGGUGAAAUGCGUAGAUAUCAGGCAGAACACCAGUGGCGAAGGCAGAAUACUGGCCGUUAACUGACGGUGAGGCACGAAAGUGUGGGGAGCGAACAGGAUUAGAUACCCGAGUAGUC
rnacentral:rRNA from 1 species